ACUCAAAUGAAUUGACGGGGGCCCGCACAAGCGGUGGAUCAUGUGGUUUAAUUCGAAGCAACGCGAAGAACCUUACCUGGGUUUGACAUCCUCGGACCGCUGUGGAAACACAGUUUUCGUAGUAAUACGACCGAGAGACAGGUGCUGCAUGGCUGUCGUCAGCUCGUGGGGUGACCUGUUGGGUUAAGUCCCGCAACGAGCGCAACCCCUGUCCUUAGUUGCCAGCAUUUAGUUGGGCUCUCUAGGGAGACUGCCGUGGUUAACACGGAGGAAGGUGGGGAUGACGUCAAGUCCUCAUGGCCUUUAUAUCCAGGGCGACACACGUGAUACAAUGGACGGUACAAAGGGAUGCCAAGUGGCAACACGGAGCUAAUCUCAAAAAGCCGUUCUCAGUUCGGAUUGGAGUCUGCAACUCGACUCCAUGAAGUUGGAAUCGCUAGUAAUCGCGGAUCAGCACGCCGCGGUGAAUACGUUCCCGGGCCUUGUACACACCGCCCGU
rnacentral:rRNA from 1 species